GGAAAUAAACAUUCCUUCCCUGUCAGGAAAAAAAUCACUUGUCUAGUCUGUCUAGAUUUUAAAGUGUGAUCCUUAGUGGCGUCCUACCAUCAUCUGUGUGCUGGUGUGGGGUGUACCAUGCCCCCUGCCCUGCAGCACACGCUGUUCUUCCUGGAAGGCUGAUCACAGGCAGAGAUUGUAGUGGCUACUUGCAUACCAAGGACCAAGACACACCUCUUCUCAAACAUUGCCUGCUCUCCUCUGGAGUUCAGGUGCUGAGAAUACAACAAUGAACAACACAGAUUAAGCCUCUAUUUUUAUGGAGUGCCCUACAGUUAAAUGACAGAUGUCACUUUUGCUCUCAACUAAUUUACUAGCACUACUUAAAUGGCUCAAUUCAACUAUAAGGGAGAAAAGAAAUGAAAUCCUGCCAUGUACCUGGAGAUUGGAGUACAAGAAAUACUUGGUAAACAGCACAAAUGACCAUCACCACAGUGCACUCUUCUCACCACAAAACAUUUGGCCCAUUCUCUCUCUCACAGGCAAGCCUAGGUACCUCCAAGUGUUCCUUGACUUGUGGCUGCACAACUUCAAUAUCUGCUUCCAUAUCCACAUAUCCUUCUCCCCUGUUGCCUGUGUCUGUAUCCUUCUGCGUGUCUCUUUUAAGAAUACUUGUCUGGAUUAAGGAGCCACACAGAUAAUCCGGGAUGAUCUCAUUAAAGAUGCAUAAUUAAUUUCAUCUGCAAAGGUGUUUUUUCCAUAAUAAGGUCGCAAUCACAGGUUCAGGUUCAGGUUCAGGGAUAAAGAUGUGUGCUGACCCUGUGCUUAUGUGGGGAGUGGGAUGACCUAGUGCUGAUGUGGAGAGUGUGAUGACUUAGUGCUGAAUUGGGGAGUGUGCUGACCCUGUGCUGAUGUAGGAAGUGCAAUGACCCUGUGCUUCUGUGGUGACUUCCUCUAUACGCAUAUGAAUGAGGUAAGGGCUUUGGAGAGGCAAUUCCUGCAUAAUAUCAUACUUUACUAUCUGUUCAGGUGGUUUUUGUAUUGCUCCAUCACUAAGUUUGCUAGUUAGUUUAACAGGUCAAGUUAGCAGCUUAUUUUUGAAUCCUUGUAGAAAAGAAAACAUUUCCUUUAAAAUACGAGAACAACAGAAUAAAC
rnacentral:lncRNA from 1 species